rnacentral:lncRNA from 1 species
CCUUAAGUUUGAAGAUAGCCCCAAAUGGGGGUGGUGGGAGCAGAUUUUUGGUUUUUGUUAUCUGCCUUGUGGCUGAUCUCGCUCACUGCCCUCGCUUGAGAAGUCUUAAAUGUAUUUGUGGCUACUAACUUACAGCCGCUGAUGGUGGUUAUGAAAAGUUCAAAAGUACCAUAUCUUUCUUGGAUGCUUCUGAGUCAGAGAAAUGCAUGGGUGAUCACGUGUUUAUUCUAUCUAGCAUCAAAAUGGUUAAAAGAGACGAGAAUUAUGAGGAGGCAUCAUUUGAUUUCUACAUCAAAAAUUUCCAUCAUUAUGAAGAAGCAGCAGAAAAAUUAUCAAGGUGGAGAGAUGUGGUGUUCUUGUAUUUUACGUAGAUGCAGAGAGUGAUGCUGAUGCUACAGAAAUGAGACCUGCCGAGACCAAAAGAAGCUUUAGCCAUGAUGGUGAAGAAGGGGAUGGAGGCCCUAAACGAUUUCAACAGUUUUUAUUUCCUUUCAUUUUUGGCUCUGGUUUUCAGUAGUUACAACUUCUCAAUCAUGUCAUCCAAAUGCAUAAAGGGGUUUUCAUCUCAUUCUUUCAUAUUACUCGAUUUUUUAUUUCAUUUUUCAUAUUGCCAUAUUUUUGUUUUUCAUAGGUGUUAAAACUAAAUUUUCAACUUUUAAAUUAAUUGCCUAUGAUAGAAAAUGAAGUGCUUUACUUAAUUAAAACCAACCAGGAUGAAUCUAACUUGCUCUGUUUAAAGUGUUAAGAGUAUAGAUAAAGACUCUAUUAGUCUAUUAGUUGUUAGUUUGUUAUACAAGCAGUUAUGCUGUUAAGUGAGAUUGUUAGCAGCAGUUACUCAUACACAUUUUAUAAAUACUAUAGUUGUACUGGUUAAAUUCAAGAUAAUAAUACAAAAAUCAUUCUCUGCAUAUUCUAUUUUUCUUUCAAGUUUUUGUAGAUAUUAACAUGGUAAACAUCGGACAACAAUGAUUGACAGAGGCAGCAACAUAUUCACUUGAUUAUUGAAGGUUAUGAAUUGACUGGUUUUUUUUGGAGGGAACGUUACCUGGUCUGCCGCAUUUUGUGCUGUCUUUGGAGGGAUCUCUAGUUCCAAAUCCGGAUGCCUCAGCAUUCUUUCAGCAGGAUAGGUUACUUGCCUCUUUCUGGUUAUUUUCUACUAUUAGUCCUUCACUGUUGUCUUCUUUUACAUAUGCUAGGAUGGCGUGCGAUGUUUGGAACACUGCCACUUGCCUCUUCACUACCGUCACAGGUGUCAAGUUAUCUUGCAUUCGCCAUGAUUUACACUCGCUUAAGAAAGGUAAUCUGUCGAUAAUGGAGUAGGUAGUAAAGAUUCAGAAUACCUGUGCUUUAAUCGAGGCUUGUCGAUCUUGGAUCUCGGAGGCAGAGAGUGUGGAUAUCGUACUUGUGGGCCUACCACCGGAGUUCAACGCCAUGCUCACCUUAGCGUCAUUCUUGUCGGAAGCCUUACCGUUACAACACCGCAUGGAUGAGUUGUUGGAGUAUGGAAGUCGCUAAAUUCGCGUGGUUCAGGAGGUGCCGUUUCAUGCUAACCUUUUGGAGACUAUUCCGUCACCGCCGGUGGUGGACUCUGUGCGUGUUGGCCGUCCCCUACUGGUGGUUGUGGGAAGAGGUUUCGAUCCAAACUCCAAUGUUAGAUCUGUGGUCAGUUUGGGCAUUAGCUCAACGUUUUUAAUAUUGUCAUAAUCGCGACUACAGUGGUUCUGACAUUAGCGGCCUGGGCUUCAAAUUCGACCGAUCGUACUAGGCAGGGUUCGGAUGUUGGUUUCUCAUUUCUAUCGCCCGCCUCUAGUCAGUUUGGUGGCCUUUCGUAGACGGCGCCAUCACGAUUUCUUUCUGGUAAAUGGUAGGGUGGUCACUUGUCUACUGCGCCUCCCCUGUAUAUGUCAUACACUAGGGUUUUUAACCCCUUUUUUUUGCGUUUGAUGAUGGAGCAGGCCUACCGCUUGGGCAUUAUGCUGGGUUAAGCCAACCAUUUGGGCUUGGUCAUGAGUAGCGGUUUGAGCCUGGUCAUGAGGCAGUUCACUGGGUUAGGUCCGUAUUUUGGGCUUGUAACUGGGUUCACUCGGCCAUUGGCCAAAAUCUUGGGCCGUCUGUGCGUGGUAGGCCAUCUGGCCCAUGCUAGGACUUUAGGGGUGAUUUUUCUCCAGUUGGGUCCACUGCUAAUGUUUCUCCAAAUGGGCCAACAUUUAAUUGUGUGGAGUUUACAAGCCCUCGUGGUCGUGUACGAGGGCUUGAGCCUUCAGAUGGUGGUGUUUGUACUACGUUUGGGUCAUAUAAUGGGUUGUGUAUUCCCUGGCAGAUAAAAAUAAGAGCUCGUGUUUAUAUUGGGUCAAAUCCAUGCAUUGGAUUGCCUCGAAUUCCUGAUUUACAUACGUCUAAUGUCUCUAACUCUACUGGAUCUAAUAUUAAUGCCACUCAUUUUGGGUCCAAUUUUGAUAAUGAUGAUUCGUAUAUUCCUAUACCUAUAGGAACUUCGUCUUGGUAUCUGGAUUCAGGGGCAAUGCCUCUGCUUUGAAUGAGUCUACACCAUACUCAAGUACAUUCCCUCUCUUAAUAGGUGAUGGGACUCCUAUGCUUGUAGGAACUUCACUUAUUUUUUAUGUAAAUUUUUAUAAAUAUAUUUGUUACGUAACUAUGUUAUUUGAAUGUGCUAGUGUCACGGGCCAAAGUCUAAAGCCCGUGACCAUGACACAAGAUGUGCCCCAUGGAGUUCAUCAAUUAAAUAGGGAACAUUUAGCCCACGAGAACUGGCUCGAUUCAAAGAAUUGUUGGAGAAGCCUGUCAGAUUGAAGCCUGGUUGGCCCGAUAAUGAAGACAUGGCAACUUAGGCUAAUUUUGGUAACUAAUCUUAGAAGAUAGAGAGAAUCAUAUCUUGCAAAGAUUAGAUUAGAUUUGAUAUGACAAAUAUUGUAAAUCCCUAAAAUUAAGGGAUAUGGUUAAUCUCGUCCGUUGAUGUAAAUGUAUCUUGAUCGUCGAUUUUAGGGGAGCUCAACUAUAAAUAGAGAGCCUCCCCUCAUUUGUACUCAUCCAUUGUAAGAUUGAAUUCUUAAAAGUAAUAGAAUUCAGAGAGCAUUUAUUCAAACACCUUGGGUGUGUUCUUUUCUGUGACUUUCUCUUGUUCUUUCAUUUUUCUUCUUUUGGCAUAAAUCGCUUCCGCUCUUCAAUUCGGUGCCUUGGAGGAGUUCUUAAGGAAUCUUCACUUUAGUAAAAGCUGACUUAGGCGAGUUUGGACGAACGGAUCGCCUAAGGCCGCACGGAUCGUGAGACGACAGUUCUAGCCCCGUGACACUAGAAUCUAUCUCUAAUUAAAGCCAUUAUUUAAGUGAUGAAAAAAAAAAUAUUCUUAGUGAUGGAAUUUAAAUAGCUUAUUAAUGACAAUCUUUAAUAGAAAAUAAUAGCAUCACACAAAUGUUUAAAGAUGUGAGUUCGAGUUUGUUUAAAUGUGUCUUUUCUUUCUAUUUAAAGGUGAGAAAGAAUUACGUGUAGCUAUAGGCUUUGUAUAAAGAAAAGAAAUAAAUUUUAAUAUGUUUGAAAAUUCAACCAAAAAUCCAUUUAAUAAAAGGUUCCCACUGAUGAUGGAUCUAUAAUUUAAACUUUUCUUCUUCAAAAGGCAAACCAAAGCUCCCUUGCUAUAAAUUUUUCUCUUUGCCUCACUCACAUUAUCCAUAAUCUUUCAUGGCGUCUUCUUCAUCUUCUUCUCGUCAAAUGAAGCACCAAAUUUUCUUGAGCUUCAGAGGUGAAGACACACGCCUUAACUUUACCAGUCAUCUACUCAAAGCUUUGAAAGGCACAGGACUGAAUGUCUUCUUCGAUGAAGAAAAACUAGAGAAAGGGGAGCAACUUUCACAAGCACUUUCUCAAGCAAUUGCAGCCUCAAAUCUCUCAAUCCUUGUUUUAUCUAAAGGCUAUGCUUCUUCGAAAUCAUGCUUAGGUGAACUCUCUCAGAUCAUGAAGUGUAAAAAGACUCGAGGGCAUAUUGUUCUUCCUAUCUUUUACCAUGUUGAUCCCUCCCAUGUGCGAAAUAUUGGUGGGACUUCUAAGACAUCUGUUGUUGUUAUGAAUAAUAUGCAAGCAAAUUUUGCUGAGACUUGAGCAACAAGGCUCGAGGCUUGCAGAAGAAACAAAAAUGAAUUCAAGAGCAGAAUUAAGCUUUUGAAACACUAAAAAUGGAAGCUAAGAAGAGAGAGUAUUGGAUAAUGAAAUUUGAAUGAAUUUUCAUUAAAAUUAUCAAGUGGCUGGUCAAUGAGUUACAAAAUCAUCACCUAAACAAUAC